CUCAGCGCUACUUUCCUCUCCUCCCUAAGGGGAAGUUCUGGGGGUCCUCACUUUUCUUCCUUCCUGGGUAAUAUGACCUGGAGAGUCAGCCUGUAGGGUACGACUCAGCAUCCAGCCAGUGCUUGGCGGCUGCGCAGGCAGUGUUGCUGCAUGAAACAGUGGUCUUUGAAGUGAGUGCCUCUUUGAAAUGGAAGCCUCUGCAAUCAAAGCUUAAGUCCUGCACUUGGAUUAUGAAAAAGAAAAAACAGAACUGUCACAUAAAGGGCUCACACAGUACAGUGGAACAUCUGAAGGAGAGGUUUGGUUGUUUCAAGGCUUGUGGGCAGAGCCCUUUAUUGGACGCUGGAAGUUUCUGACCCAGAGGAGAUGCUUCUGCGAGUUGAGAGUCUCUGAGGCGCCUGAGAUCUCAGACUGGCCUGGGUCAUGGUGCCUGAUGUGCAGAAGGGAUGCUAGACAGGAGGCUGAAGUCUGUGGUUUCCAGUCCUGAUUUGGAUGAACGACUGGACCUCUUGCUUCUCCAGCAAAGGACCUGAAGGGACAGUGUGGCUGGACGCAGCAGCAGAUCAUCCUGCCCUGGAGUGUUUCUCUCACCAUUGGGACCCCAGGCAAGUGAUGCUACUUUCAUGAAGCCUCACUUCAACCACUCAGACCCUCCUCUGAAUGCCUGUUAAGCUGGAGGCUACCGAUGGAGGUGAGAACACUAUCACCUUCUGCCAAAGCUUGAUGCAUUGUUGCCCCAACUGGAGAGAUACAAAGAGGAAUGACUCCCGGGUCAACCAGGUCCUCCAGUCAACACUCAGCUAAUGUUUUCAGAUCACCUACUGUGUGCUUGGCACCACGGAAGAAACUAUGGAGGGUAUCGAAGUGAGAUCAUAAGCUGGGGUAAGGAAUUUUUUUUUAAAGUUUUGCUACAUUGCACCUGGAGUAGAGGGUGACAGUCCUAAUGCUUGUUUCAGCUUCCAUAGAUAAUCACUGCAUUUCUCUGCCAGAGCCAAGGAGCAUUGUUUUGGCCCCGAGAAAGAGGAGGGGAAAGGAGAGAUGGUACCUUAAAGAAGGGAGGAUCCUAGGGAAGGAUCACAUAGUCAGAUGGAGUAGUUGGAGAGGACUGGAGUAGGAAGAGAUGCAAGGAGAUGGAU